ensembl:lncRNA
UUUGAUUCCUUGGAUCCGCUCGGCUGCUGCUGCUGGCAGCUGUAAACAAGCCAGGAGACAAAUCCAGCAGCUGACCCCUCCAAACAGAGCUGCACGCCGGGCUGGAAGAGGGAUUUUGGCAGGUGAAGUGAUGGAAUUGUGAGAAUUUUACAGAAACACUUCCAGCUGAUUAUCCAGAGCAGCUGGGGCUGCCCCUGGAUCCCUGGCAGUGCCCAAGGCCAGGCUGGACAGGGCUGGAGCAGCUGGGACAGUGGGAGGAGCAGGGAAGAGGAGCUGGCCGGGCUUUCAGGUCCCUCCCAGCCCAAAACAUUCCAUGAUUUUGUGCUUACUCCUGGAUUUAUGACGGGUUCACCUGUGGGGAAGCUGCCCAGCGCUGGGACUUGGCUUUGCUGUUCCCUGGUGGGAUUGCCUGGGAUAAAGCCAGGGCUGUUUGUGGUCCCCCCUGCAGCUCCUUAAGAACUGGCUCUCGUGGCCGAGUUCCCUUCAGCCCCAUCAUUAAUAAAAUCAGAAUUAAUUUACUUAACUAAGCUGAGGUUUGGGAAAUUCAAUAAAAAUGGUUUUCUUUACAAUUAAGGUGCAUCUGUGGGAUAUUCUUUAGCAUUUCUGGAGCAUAUCCGAAGUUUUUUAUAUUUGGGACUGAGUAUUCCACAUGCCCUUCCUUUCCUUGGAUCACUGGUGUGGCUCUGGCUCAGCUUUGGAGACAUUCUGGAAUUGUUUAGCAUUACCUGGCUUUUUUCACUGUGGACUCCAGUCAAACCCCUCCAUUUGCAGGUUGAUUUUAUUCUUUCCCAUAUUUCAUUUAAUAGUUCUGCCUCACUUUCUGUAGGAAAUGAGAAGGGAAGGCCAAUAUUUGCCAUGAAUGAAAAUGGAAAUUCAUAAGUCAACAGCCAGGGCCAGCCCUCCCUCUCUGUUACACAAACCCAGCGGGGUUUGCUUUGUUUAAAGCACCGAGGUCUGACCCUCUGUGAUUUUGUGUUUGUUUUAAUAAGAGUAUUUGGUGGUUGUGGGAGGCUCUUCUCACGGCACACGUGUCAGAGCUGGCAGGUUUGUUUUCCAGGGAACAGCUCUGGGCUGGAUUCACCUCAGCCCUUCAUUCUGCAGGAAAAAGAGCGCUGGGCUUCUGCCAGAGUGGGGGAAGCAAUCCCAGAGUGAGGGAAGCAAUUCCAGAGUGGGGGAAGCAAUCCCAGAGUGAGGGAAGCAAUUCCAGAUGAGGGAAGCAAUCCCAGAGUGGGGGAAGCAAUCCCAGAGUGAGGAAAGCAAUUCCAGAGUGGGGAAAGCAAUUCCAGAGUGGGGGAAGAAAUUCCACAGUGGGGAAAGCAAUUCCAGAGUGAGGGAAGCAAUUCCAGAGUGGGGAAAGCAAUUCCAGAGUGGGGGAAGAAAUUCCACAGUGGGGAAAGCAAUUCCAGAGUGGGGAAAGCAAUUCCACAGUGAGGGAAGCAAUCCCAGAAUGAGGGAAGCAAUUCCAGAGUGAGGGAAGCAAUUCCAGAGUGGGGAAAGCAAUUCCAGAGUGGGGGAAGAAAUUCCACAGUGGGGAAAGCAAUUCCAGAGUGAGGGAAGCAAUUCCACAGUGAGGGAAGCAAUCCCAGAGUGAGGGAAGCAAUUCCAGAGUGAGGGAAGCAAUUCCAGAGCAAUUCCACAGUGGGGGAAGCAAUCCCAGAGUGGGGGAAGCAAUUCCAGAUGUUUUGGAUUUUGGGAAGGAGGAGGGCUGGCAAGGCUUCCUCAGGGUGCCACAGGAAUUCCACAGAGCCCCAGAAACCUGAAUCCUUCAGGGGGGCACCUGCUGCAGCCCCCUGGAAGGUCACUGGGAUGGCCACAUUUCACUGGGCAGCCCUCCUCUGUCUUGGUGGGAGAGAUUUCUAAAGUUAAUUACGAAAUCUUUGCCAUUAAAUAUUCAACAACACUUAUUUUUGAGUACCUCAGGUUUCAUUUAGGUUCCUUGAAAAUUUAAUAUCCGACUUUAAUAUUUAAUACUGCCCUGAGAUGGGUGUAGGAAUUUAAAGUCUAUGCUUUGAAUGAAAAGGAUCCUGGAUUUCUUUAUGGAAAAGGCUGAGGUGGAGGGUUGAGGAAAGGGUCUGCCUUGAAAGGAUCCAACUCUUCCUUUUUCCAUCCUGCACAAGUGUCUUUUAUGUGCAGGGGCACCGUAGGGCUCACUCUGCUCUAAUUAAGGCCUCUCAUUUGUUAAAAUAUCUUUAACACGUUUGCAGCACAGCACCAAAAAUGGGAAGCAUUAUGAUAAUUUUAAGGUUGUUUUUUUUCUUCUGGGAGGGGGAUUAGCUGCCCAAUUAACACACACCAUUAAUUUGUGAGCUGCACUUGAAGUGAAAUGAGCAACACAGGGUUUGUGGAAUUGUUUAAGAACCAGAAUUAGAGUCAGAAAGCACAAAAGCACUUGGAAAAGUCUUGUGAGCUUGGAUUAGAAGGGUUCCUGGAAAGGAUGGGCUGUGAGGCUUGCCUGGAGAGCUCUGCCUCAGGCAGGGAACAGGAAAAACCCCACUGCAGGCUGUGGG